rnacentral:rRNA from 1 species
CCUACGGGUGGCAGCAGUGGGGAAUAUUGCACAAUGGGGGAAACCCUGAUGCAGCGACGCCGCGUGAGUGAAGAAGUAUCUCGGUACGUAAAGCUCUAUCAGCAGGGAAGAAAAUGACGGUACCGGACUAAGAAGCCCCGGCUCACUACGUGCCAGCAGCCCCGGUAAUACGUAGGGGGACAGCGUUAUCCGGAUUUACUGGGUGUAAAGGGCGCGUAGACGGCAGCACAAGUCUGGAGUGAAAUGCCCGGGCUUAACCCCGGCACUGCUGUGGAAACUGUGCGGCUUGAGUGCAGGAGGGGUAGGCGGAAUUCGUAGUGUAGCGGUGAAAUGCGUAGAUAUUAGGAGGAACACCGGUGGCGAAGGCAGCUUGCUGGACUGGAACUGACGUUGAGGCUCGAAAGCGUGGGGAGCGAACAGGAUUAGAUACCCUGGUAGUC